GACCAUUUUAUUGCAGUUUUGAAAGAAAAA
rnacentral:piRNA from 1 species